rnacentral:rRNA from 1 species
GACGAACGCUGGCGGCGUGCCUAAUACAUGCAAGUCGAACGCUGAAGGAGGAGCUUGCUCUUCUGGAUGAGUUGCGAACGGGUGAGUAACGCGUAGGUAACCUGCCUGGUAGCGGGGGAUAACUCUUGGAAACGAUAGCUAAUACCGCAUAACAGUAGAUGUUGCAUGACAUUUACUUAAAAGGUGCAAUUGCAUCACUACCAGAUGGACCUGCGUUGUAUUAGGUAGUUGGUGGGGUAAAGGCGCAACAAGGCGACGAUACAUAGUCGACCUGGGAGGGGGGUUGGCCCCACUGGGACUGGGGAAAGGCUCAGACUCCCUCGGGAAGCAGCAGGAGGGGAUCUUCGGCAAUGGACGGAAGUCUGACCGGGCCACGCCGCGUGAGUGAAGAAGGGUUUCGGAUCGUAAAGCUCUGUUGUAAGGGAAGAACGAGUGUGGGAGUGGAAAGUUCACACUGUGACGGUAUCUUACCAGAAAGGGACGGCUAACUACGUG